AAAUUGAAGAGUUUGAUCAUGGCUCAGAUUGAACGCUGGCGGCAGGCCUAACACAUGCAAGUCGAACGGUAACAGGAAGCAGCUUGCUGCUUUGCUGACGAGUGGCGGACGGGUGAGUAAUGUCUGGGAAACUGCCUGAUGGAGGGGGAUAACUACUGGAAACGGUAGCUAAUACCGCAUAACGUCGCAAGACCAAAGAGGGGGACCUUCGGGCCUCUUGCCAUCGGAUGUGCCCAGAUGGGAUUAGCUAGUAGGUGGGGUAACGGCUCACCUAGGCGACGAUCCCUAGCUGGUCUGAGAGGAUGACCAGCCACACUGGAACUGAGACACGGUCCAGACUCCUACGGGAGGCAGCAGUGGGGAAUAUUGCACAAUGGGCGCAAGCCUGAUGCAGCCAUGCCGCGUGUAUGAAGAAGGCCUUCGGGUUGUAAAGUACUUUCAGCGGGGAGGAAGGCGAUAAGGUUAAUAACCUUGUCGAUUGACGUUACCCGCAGAAGAAGCACCGGCUAACUCCGUGCCAGCAGCCGCGGUAAUACGGAGGGUGCAAGCGUUAAUCGGAAUUACUGGGCGUAAAGCGCACGCAGGCGGUCUGUCAAGUCGGAUGUGAAAUCCCCGGGCUCAACCUGGGAACUGCAUUCGAAACUGGCAGGCUAGAGUCUUGUAGAGGGGGGUAGAAUUCCAGGUGUAGCGGUGAAAUGCGUAGAGAUCUGGAGGAAUACCGGUGGCGAAGGCGGCCCCCUGGACAAAGACUGACGCUCAGGUGCGAAAGCGUGGGGAGCAAACAGGAUUAGAUACCCUGGUAGUCCACGCCGUAAACGAUGUCGACUUGGAGGUUGUGCCCUUGAGGCGUGGCUUCCGGAGCUAACGCGUUAAGUCGACCGCCUGGGGAGUACGGCCGCAAGGUUAAAACUCAAAUGAAUUGACGGGGGCCCGCACAAGCGGUGGAGCAUGUGGUUUAAUUCGAUGCAACGCGAAGAACCUUACCUACUCUUGACAUCCAGAGAACUUUCCAGAGAUGGAUUGGUGCCUUCGGGAACUCUGAGACAGGUGCUGCAUGGCUGUCGUCAGCUCGUGUUGUGAAAUGUUGGGUUAAGUCCCGCAACGAGCGCAACCCUUAUCCUUUGUUGCCAGCGGUCCGGCCGGGAACUCAAAGGAGACUGCCAGUGAUAAACUGGAGGAAGGUGGGGAUGACGUCAAGUCAUCAUGGCCCUUACGAGUAGGGCUACACACGUGCUACAAUGGCGCAUACAAAGAGAAGCGACCUCGCGAGAGCAAGCGGACCUCAUAAAGUGCGUCGUAGUCCGGAUUGGAGUCUGCAACUCGACUCCAUGAAGUCGGAAUCGCUAGUAAUCGUGGAUCAGAAUGCCACGGUGAAUACGUUCCCGGGCCUUGUACACACCGCCCGUCACACCAUGGGAGUGGGUUGCAAAAGAAGUAGGUAGCUUAACCUUCGGGAGGGCGCUUACCACUUUGUGAUUCAUGACUGGGGUGAAGUCGUAACAAGGUAACCGUAGGGGAACCUGCGGUUGGAUCACCUCCUUA
rnacentral:rRNA from 2 species